AUGACAGCGAGCGGAGCUCUGUGCUUACCUACAAGACAAAUUAGGCCUGAAGCCUACCAAUCCAGAGCCUUACUAAACCAAUGGACCAGCCCAGGACCCACCGGAGGAAAGCCCGGAGCAGCGCGGAAAGGGGAAUGUGCAGAAGUAAAC